rnacentral:tRNA from 1 species
UCCCCGGUGGCUCAGACGGUAAAGCAUCUGCCUGCAAUGCAGGAGACCCAGGUUCAAUCCCUGGGUUGGGAA